GAUCAUGGCUCAGGAUGAACGCUGGCGGCGUGCUUAACACAUGCAAGUCGAACGGAGAUGCCGGAGUGCUUGCACUUUGGCAGACUGAGUGGCGAACGGGUGAGUAACGCGUGAGGAACCUGCCUCAAAGAGGGGGACAACAGUUGGAAACGACUGCUAAUACCGCAUAAGCCCCACGGCUCGGCAUCGAGCAGAGGGAAAAGGAGCAAUCCGCUUUGAGAUGGCCUCGCGUCCGAUUAGCUAGUUGGUGAGGUAAUGGCCCACCAAGGCGACGAUCGGUAGCCGGACUGAGAGGUUGAACGGCCACAUUGGGACUGAGACACGGCCCAGACUCCUACGGGAGGCAGCAGUGGGGAAUAUUGCACAAUGGGGGAAACCCUGAUGCAGCGACGCCGCGUGGAGGAAGAAGGUCUUCGGAUUGUAAACUCCUGUUGUUGAGGAAGAUAAUGACGGUACUCAACAAGGAAGUGACGGCUAACUACGUG
rnacentral:rRNA from 1 species